rnacentral:rRNA from 1 species
UAGGGAAUAUUGCACAAUGGGGGAAACCCUGAUGCAGCGACGCCGCGUGAAGGAAGAAGUAUCUCGGUAUGUAAACUUCUAUCAGCAGGGAAGACAAUGACGGUACCUGACUAAGAAGCCCCGGCUAACUACGUGCCAGCAGCCGCGGUAAUACGUAGGGGGCAAGCGUUAUCCGGAUUUACUGGGUGUAAAGGGAGCGUAGACGGAUCUGCAAGUCUGGAGUGAAGCCGGGCCGUCACCCAGGCAGCGCUUGGAAUGACUGUGGAUCUAGAGUGCCGGAGAGGUAAGCGGAAUUCCUAGUGUAGCGGUGAAAUGCGUAGAUAUUAGGAGGAACACCAGUGGCGAAGGCGGCUUACUGGACGGUAACUGACGUUGAGGCUCGAAAGCGUGGGGAGCAAACAGGAUUAGAUACC